AUGAACAGGUAGUUCAUAAGUGUGAUGAUUGGGUGUCACGCUCUUUUGUGAGAUGUGUCUCCCUCAAACCUUGUUACAUCAGCACAUUACCCGAGUGAUG